rnacentral:rRNA from 1 species
UAAUACGUAGGGGGCGAGCGUUGUCCGGAUUUAUUGGGCGUAAAGAGCUCGUAGGCGGUUUGGUAAGUUGGAUGUGAAAUCUCCAGGCUCAACUUGGAGGGGUCAUUCGAUACUGCCAUGACUAGAGUUCGGUAGGGGAGUGUGGAAUUCCUGGUGGAGCGGUGAAAUGCGCAGAUAUCAGGAGGAACACCCGUAGCGAAGGCGGCACUCUGGGCCGGAACUGACGCUGAGGAGCGAAAGCGUGGGGAGCGAACAGGAUUAGAUACCCUGGUAGUCCACGCCGUAAACGUUGGGCACUAGGUGUGGGGUUCUAUCGACGGAUUCCGUGCCGUAGCUAACGCAUUAAGUGCCCCGCCUGGGGAGUACGGCCGCAAGGCUA